rnacentral:rRNA from 1 species
AGCGAACGCUGGCGGCAGGCCUAACACAUGCAAGUCGAGCGGCCGUAGCAAUACGGCAGCGGCAGACGGGAUAGUAACACGUGGGAACGCGCCCUUCGGUUCGGAAUAACUCAGGGAAACUUGAGCUAAUACCGGAUACGCCUACGGGAAGAUUAUUGCGAAGGAACGGCCCGCGUCCGAUUAGCUAGUUGGUGAGGUAAUGGCUCACCAAGGCAACGAUCGGUAGCUGGCUGAGAGGAUGACCAGCAUCACUGGGACUGAGACACGGCCCAGACUCCUACGGGAGGCAGCAGUGGGGAUAUUGGACAAUGGGCGCAAGCCUGAUCCAGCCAUGCCGCGUGGAUGAUGAAGGCCUUAGGGUUGUAAAGUCCUUUUAACGGGGAAGAUAAUGACGGUACCCGUAGAAUAAGCCCCGCUAACUUCGUGCCAGCAGCCGCCGUAAG